rnacentral:misc_RNA from 1 species
AAGUCGUAACAAGGUUUCCGUAGGUGAACCUGCGGAAGGAUCAUUAACACGUAUCCAACGUUAAACAACCCUGUGAACUUUCAACGCUCUUGUAGCCCCAGAGGAACAGCAAUCCCGGUAAAUCAAUGGGGACCUCUGUCCAAAAGGUAUCAAGUUACAAUCGAGCAGAGCAGUGGCAUGGUUUCCCUAAGCAGUGCAGAAGGAUCCACUGAGUAAGGAUAACGCAUCACGGUUGCCAGAGGUCGAUCACCGGCCGGCAGACAUGUCACAGGGCGCGCGCGCCCCCUCAUUCACCCCUUGCCCUCUCAAGCCUCGCGGAAACGCCGGGCAUAAAAACCGAACAACUGUUAACAAUGGAUAUCUUGGUUCUC